CUUUUAUAUCUACUGUUUAAAACCUGUGACAUUGUUCUACUUUAUUUUUUCUCCACAUCUCAUUUCCAGACUGCACACAUUCAGAGCAGAACCUCAAGAACCCAGCUGUGUGUCUAUGAAGAGCAACAACUCGAUGACUGAGCCUCUUAAAUUCAGUAAUGAAAGAAUGGGCGCUGACCUGAGACUGCAGACAUUCAGGGCAGAACCUCCAGAGCCCAGCUAUGUAUCUAUGAAGAGCAACCACUCGAUGAUUGAGCCUCUUAAAUUCAGUAAUGAAAGAAUGGGCGAUGACCUGAGAUUGCACACAUUCAGAGCAGAACCUCCAGAGCCCAGCUGUGUAUCUAUGAAGAGCAGCCACUCGAUGAUUGAGCCUCUUAAAUUCAGUAAUGAAAGAAUGGGCGCUGACCUGAGACUCCAGACAUUCAGAGCAGAACCUCCAGAGCCCAGCUAUGUAUCUAUGAAGAGCAGCCACUCGAUGAUUGAGCCUCUUAAAUUCAGUAAUGAAAGAAUGGGUGCUGACCUGAGCUGUGGAAGGGAUAUGCGAUUCCAGGAUCAGUCCAGGUGUGGAGUGUGUGAGCAGAUUCAG
rnacentral:lncRNA from 1 species